rnacentral:lncRNA from 1 species
AUAGAAGCUUGUCCACUUUUUUUCCAGCUCUAUCAGCUGUAUAUAGUCAAUGUUGGAAAAUACCUUGUCUAAUUCUUUUUUUCCUUUGCUUAUCUAUUAGAAAAAGACUACUGUGUUAAAUGAAACCUUUGCCCGACCACAGCACAGCUAUUUUACGUUCUUAAAUUCACCUUACACAUCUUAUUUUAAAUGUGCACUACCAAAUUCUGCAGGUGUACAAAUCCUGGCAUCCCUGAAAGGAAGCAUGUGUCUAAGAUAAUCCAAUAGCCCAGUGUGCCGAACACCCUUGCAUAUCUCCAUUUUGAAACCUAACCGUUGAGAUUCUUCUCAUUGUUCUGUCACAUCCGAGCAGUACUGUCUGGAGAGGAUUAUUGCAGCAAUAAUUCUGGAUUUGCUAGAGGACGGUGAGUAAUGUUCAAGCUACUGUGUUUCACUGACUCAGCAGUUCAAUCAUUCAGAGACCACAGUCAAAUAAGAAGCAGAUUCUUAAAGAUGUGAACAUAUAACCCUGCUUUCUGUGCCCAUAUGCAAGCAUGGCUGCUCAGUGAGUCGGGAUCAAGAACAAGGUUUACCAGCUACAUCUGAUUCUCACUGAAACAGUAGUUAUUAACUAUUUAAAGCUGUUGAUCUGACGACCACGGUCAGUACAUGUUGUACAUGUUCUAUCCACAAUCUUGUUUCAAGUAGUGUCUUUAG